AGUAGGACGAUUACAAUAAUUGAUCAUCAGACAUAGAGUGUCUUAUCUUUUAUUUCAUUUCUUGUAUUUUGCUGGCUGCAAGCAGAAACCUUGGCGUAGUGAUAAUGGUAGGAAAAAACCUGAACAGUAUAAAGCAGUUGAUACUCAGGUUUGUUUAAUCCUCCGUAUAUUAAUUCUUAUGCAGCAUUUCAUGUUUAUAUGUACUAAUAUGAUAAUUCAAGUGUUCAGUAAAGAAUAGCAGGAACAUAAUUGCAUCAUGCCUUAUCUUCUGCAAAGCUUUGAUAUGUCAGGCUAUUCAAGUUCAUUUGAGCAUUGGAAACUAACCUCGAGCUGAGUUUCAUCAUAUUGGAAUUCAGUUGAGCAUUGUCAUUUGUUUUGUCAGACUAUUCGAAUUGCAAUCCUGCUCAUAGUAUCUUUGUUGCAUUUAGUCAGUUGGAAUAUCAUAGUAAAAGAACAUACAGUUAGAUUUAGCACUUACGUAGUUCAGUGUCAUAGUUUCCAUAAUAGUUGAAAACUAUCGUCAUGUGACCUUAUUUCUCUGCAUAAUCCUCCAAACAAUGAUGUCAAGAUGGCAAUGCCACAUAGAAAAAGCCAUAAAGUUUCACAAGGAUAACGAAAUUACAUUGAAAGAAUCAAUCAGAAUGUGAGCACGAACCCUGUCGUGUGUUGCUAGAAUCGAUCAGGUAUGGUCAUUCUAUAGAGCCUCAAUGUUGCCCUUCUUAUUUUUGCAUAUCCAUCUACAUCUAAUGUUUGCUAUAUGUUAUUUUAAGUGUGGAGAGCAAGAACAACAUCGAGAAAAAGAUAUCCCAAAAUGUAUGAAUUCCAAAUAAAGUACUUAAAUUGGAUGGUCAUUGGGUGCAUUGCUUGGUGAUUUCGUGUGAUUGCCUCCAUUGGUGAUGGAAGCUUCCAGGAACAUGGGUCUUUAUUCAGCAAGCAAAUAACAGAGGAUCAAAUUUUGUGGAGCUUAAAUAUGUUGAGAAAUAAAUUUAACUAGGAUUCUCUUUUAGGGUUUUCCUUGAGUGGACAGUUAAGGACUUGUGGUUUUUCUAAAUAUAGAAACACGCAUCAUAUAUAAUGUGCCGGACAGAGCAGAUAUGUACCUAGGUGCCUCUUCCAUGUUUGGGCUUUAAGCAACGUCUUUUGUAUUUGAUAAUAUGCUCCUUUUCAGUAGCUUAUGUAAUUUAUUAUAUGUCAUCAUGAUUUAUUGUAUUAACAUGGUCUAAUUUCAACCA